rnacentral:rRNA from 1 species
UACGAAGGCCCCGAGCGUCACCCGGAUUUAUUGGGCGUAAAGCGUUAAAAGGUGGCAUUGUGUGUCGGGUGUUAAAUCCCAGGGCUCAACCCUGGACCUGCAUCCGAAACUGCAAUGCUCGAGGGCGGAAGAGGUAAGUAGAAUUGCUGGUGUAGCAGUUAAAUGCGUUUAUAUCAGCAGGAAUACCAAUAGCGAAGGCAGCUUACUAGAACGAUCCUGACACUAAAUAACGAAAGCGUGGGUAGCGAAUGGG